rnacentral:rRNA from 1 species
CCAACGSYUKWAUUYCGGCAGAGAUGCCUUAGUGCCUUCGGGAACCGUGASACAGGUGCUGCAUGGCUGUCGUCAGUGGGGGGGGAAAUGUUGGGUUAAGUCCCGCAACGAGCGCAACCCUUAACCWUWGWUGCCAGCGGUCCGGCCGGGAACUCAAAGGAGACUGCCAGUGAUAAACUGGAGGAAGGUGGGGAUGACGUCAAGUCAUCAUGGCCCUUACGACCAGGGCUACACACGUGCUACAAUGGCGCAUACAAAGAGAAGCGACCUCGCGAGAGCAAGCGGACCUCAUAAAGUGCGUCGUAGUCCGGAUUGGAGUCUGCAACUCGACUCCAUGAAGUCGGAAUCGCUAGUAAUCGUGGAUCAKAAUGCCACGGUGAAUACGUUCCCGGGUCUUGUACACMCCGA